AACGCUAGCGACAGGCUUAACACAUGCAAGCGAGGGCAGCACGGAGUAGCAUACAACUGGUGGCGACGGCGCACGGGUGAGUAACGCGUAUGCAACCUACCUAUCGAGAGGGGAAUAACCCGGCGAAAGUCGGACUAAUACCGCAGUAAAACAGGGGCACCGCAUGGUGAUAUUUGUUAAAGAGAUUCGCUGAUAGAUGGGCAUGCGUUCCAUUAGGUAGUUGGUGAGGUAACGGCUCACCAAGCCGACGAUGGAUAGGGGAACUGAGAGGUUGGUCCCCCACACUGGUACUGAGACACGGACCAGACUCCUACGGGAGGCAGCAGUGAGGAAUAUUGGUCAAUGGGCGGGAGCCUGAACCAGCCAAGUCGCGUGAAAGGAAGAAGGAUCUAUGGUUCGUAAACUUCUUUUGCAGGGGAAUAAAGUGCAGGACGUGUCCUGUUUUGUAUGUACCCUGAGAAUAAGGAUCGGCUAACUCCGUGCCAGCAGCCGC
rnacentral:rRNA from 1 species